GACGAACGCUGGCGGCGUGCUUAACACAUGCAAGUCGAACGGAAAGGCCCUGCUUUUGUGGGGUGCUCGAGUGGCGAACGGGUGAGUAACACGUGAGUAACCUGCCCUUGACUUUGGGAUAACUUCAGGAAACUGGGGCUAAUACCGGAUAGGAGCUCCUGCUGCAUGGUGGGGGUUGGAAAGUUUCGGCGGUUGGGGAUGGACUCGCGGCUUAUCAGCUUGUUGGUGGGGUAGUGGCUUACCAAGGCUUUGACGGGUAGCCGGCCUGAGAGGGUGACCGGCCACAUUGGGACUGAGAUACGGCCCAGACUGCUACGGGGGGCAGAAGUGGGGAAUAUUGCAAAAUGGGCGGAAGCCUGAUGCAGCAACGCCGCGUGCGGGAUGACGGCCGUCGGGUUGUAAACCGCUUUCGCCUGUGACGAAGCGUGAGUGACGGUAAUGGGUAAAGAAGCACCGGCUAACUACGUG
rnacentral:rRNA from 1 species